rnacentral:rRNA from 1 species
UAAGGAAUAUUGGACAAUGCCCGCAAGGGUGAUCCAGCCAUGCCGCGUGCAGGAAGACAGCCCUAUGGGUCGUAAACUGCUUUUACACCGGAGAAAACCCCCCUACGUGUAGGGGGCUGAUAGUAUGGUGAGAAUAAGCAUCGGCUAACUUCGUGCCAGCAGCCGCGGUAAGACGAAGGAUGCAAGCGUUAUCCGGAUUCAUUGGGUUUAAAGGGAGCGUAGGCGGCCCGAUAAGUCAGUGGUGAAAUCUCCUGGCUUAACUAGGAAAUUGCCAUUGAUACUGUUGGGCUUGAGUACAGUUGCCGUUGGCGGAAUAUGACAUGUAGUGGUGAAAUACAUAGAGAUGUCAUAGAACACCGAUUGCGAAGGCAGCUAACGAAACUGUAACUGACGCUGAGGCUCGAAAGUGCGGGGAUCAAACAGG